rnacentral:rRNA from 1 species
GCAUGGUUCAAACAUAAAAGGUGGCUUCGGCUACCACUUACAGAUGGACCCGCGGCGCAUUAGCUAGUUGGUGAGGUAACGGCUCACCAAGGCAACGAUGCGUAGCCGACCUGAGAGGGUGAUCGGCCACACUGGGACUGAGACACGGCCCAGACUCCUACGGGAGGCAGCAGUAGGGAAUCUUCCGCAAUGGACGAAAGUCUGACGGAGCAACGCCGCGUGAGUGAUGAAGGUUUUCGGAUCGUAAAGCUCUGUUGUUAGGGAAGAACAAGUACCGUUCGAAUAGGGCGGUACCUUGACGGUACCUAACCAGAAAGCCACGGCUAACUACGUGCCAGCAGCCGCGGUAAUACGUAGGUGGCAAGCGUUGUCCGGAAUUAUUGGGCGUAAAGGGCUCGCAGGCGGUUUCUUAAGUCUGAUGUGAAAGCCCCCGGCUCAACCGGGGAGGGUCAUUGGAAACUGGGGAACUUGAGUGCAGAAGAGGAGAGUGGAAUUCCACGUGUAGCGGUGAAAUGCGUAGAGAUGUGGAGGAACACCAGUGGCGAAGGCGACUCUCUGGUCUGUAACUGACGCUGAGGAGCGAAAGCGUGGGGAGCGAACAGGAUUAGAUACCCUGGUAGUCCACGCCGUAAACGAUGAGUGCUAAGUGUUAGGGGGGUUUCCGCCCCUUAGUGCUGCAGCUAACGCAUUAAGCACUCCGCCU